rnacentral:rRNA from 1 species
GAUGAACGCUGGCGGCGUGCCUAAUACAUGCCAGUAGAACGCUGAAGGAAGGAGCUUGCUCUUUCCGGAUGAGUUGCGAACGGGUGAGUAACGCGUAGGUAACCUGCCUGGUAGCGGGGGAUAACUAUUGGAAACGAUAGCUAAUACCGCAUAACAGUAGAUGUUGCAUGACAACUAUUUGAAAGGGGCAAUUGCUCCACUACCAGAUGGACCUGCGUUGUAUUAGCUAGUUGGUGAGGUAACGGCUCACCAAGGCGACGAUACAUAGCCGACCUGAGAGGGUGAUCGGCAACACUGGGACUGAGACACGGCCCAGACUCCUACGGGAGGCAGCAGUAGGGAAUCUUCGGCAAUGGACGGAAGUCUGACCGAGCAACGCCGCGUGAGGGAAGAAGGUUUUCGGAUCGUAAAGCUCUGUUGUAAGAGAAGAACGAGUGUGAGAGUGGAAAGUUCACACUGUGACGGUAUCUUACCAGAAAGGGACGGCUAACUACGUG